CGAACGCUGGCGGCGUGCUUAACACAUGCAAGUCGAGCGGUAAGGCCUUUCGGGGUACACGAGCGGCGAACGGGUGAGUAACACGUGGGUGACCUGCCCCCUACUCUGGGAUAAGCCUGGGAAACUGGGUCUAAUACCGGAUAUGACUUCAUGCUGCAUGGUGUGGGGUGGAAAGUUUUUCGGUGGGGGAUGGGCCCGCGGCCUAUCAGCUUGUUGGUGGGGUGAUGGCCUACCAAGGCGACGACGGGUAGCCGGCCUGAGAGGGCGACCGGCCACACUGGGACUGAGACACGGCCCAGACUCCUACGGGAGGCAGCAGUGGGGAAUAUUGCGCAAUGGGCGGAAGCCUGACGCAGCGACGCCGCGUGGGGGAUGACGGCCUUCGGGUUGUAAACCUCUUUCGGCCCCGACGAAGCGUGAGUGACGGUAGGGGUAGAAGAAGCACCGGCCAACUAC
rnacentral:rRNA from 1 species